AUUGAACGCUGGCGGCAGGCCUAACACAUGCAAGUCGAACGAGUGGCGGACGGGUGAGUCAUGUCUGGGAAACUGCCUGAUGGAGGGGGAUAACUACUGGAAACGGUAGCUAAUACCGCAUACCAUCGGAUGUGCCCAGAUGGGAUUAGCUAGUAGGUGGGGUAAAGGCUCACCUAGGCGACGAUCCCUAGCUGGUCUGAGAGGAUGACCAGCCACACGGGAACGGUAACACGGGCCAGACUCCGUCGUGAGGCAGCAGUGGGGAUUAUUGCACCAUGGGCGCAAUCCUGAUGCAGCCAUGCCGCGUGUAUGAAGAAGGCCUUCGGGUUGUAAAGUACUUUCAGCGGGGAGGCGUUACCCGCAGAAGAAGCACCGGCUAACUCCGUGCCAGCAGCCGCGGUAAUAC
rnacentral:rRNA from 1 species